rnacentral:rRNA from 1 species
AUUCCAGCUCCAAUAGCGUAUAUUAAAGUUGUUGCAGUUAAAAAGCUCGUAGUUGGAUUUCUGGUUUCACAGAACUGGCCUACUUCCUCAAGGUCGUGUGCGCCGUGUUUUGUGUACCAUCCUUCUAGAAAUUGUGUUCCAUCCCUUCACUGGGAUAGAUCCGAGAUCUAGAUCUUUUACUUUGAAGAAAUUAGAGUGUUCAAAGCAGGCUCGCGCUGUGAAUACAUUAGCAUGGAAUAAUAAUUUAGGACUUGGUAUCCUAUUUUGUUGGUUUUCAGGAUCUAAGUAAUGAUUGAUAGGGAUAGUUGGGGGUGCUAGUAUUUUGCGGCCAGAGGUGAAAUUCUUGGAUUAGUUAAAGACUAACGUAUGCGGAAGCAUUUGCCAAGGAUGUUUUCAUCG